GGGGGGGGGGGGGGGGGGGGGUGGGGGGGGGGGGGCGGGGGGGGGGGCGCUGGUGUGGGGGGGUGCGCGGGUGGCGAACGGGGGAGUGACGCGUGGGUGACCUGGCCUUGAGUUUGGGAUACCUUCAGGAAACUGGGGCUAAUACCGGAUAGGAGCUGCUGCUGCCUGGGGGGGGUGGGAAAGGUUGGGCGGUUGGGGAUGGACUCGCGUCUUAUCAGCUUGUUGGUGGGGUAGUGGCUUAUCAAGGCUUUGACGGGGAGCCGGCCUGAGAGGGUGACCAGCCACAUUGGGACUGAGAUACGGCCCAGACUCCUACGGGAGGCAGCAGUGGGGAAUAUUGCACAAUGGGCGUAAGCCUGAUGCAGCAACGCCGCGUGCGGGAUGACGGCCUUCGGGUUGUAAACCGCUUUCGCCUGUGACGAAGCGUGAGUGACGGUAAUGGGUAAAGAAGCACCGGCUAACUACGUG
rnacentral:rRNA from 1 species